ensembl:snoRNA
CCUGCCCCUACAGGCAUUGCACAUGUAGUUGCCAUGCCACAUGUGUGUCAGUAGCUGGCACAGAAGAGAAAUGCUAUGUCUAGGCCCGGUGUUCUGACCUAUGAAAAUCUGAAUGAUUAGUAGCCUAACACU